rnacentral:lncRNA from 1 species
CUGUGGCUGGUUCUGCGGUGUGCGGCCAGCCAUGGAGCGCUCUGGGCCCAGCGAAGUGACAGGCUCAGACGCAUCGGGACCGGACCCGCAGCUUGUGGUCACCAUGGGCUUCACGGGGUUCGGGGUUCGGUAAAAAAGCUCACACAUUUGACUUGGAAGCAAUGUUUGAACAAACUCAAAGAACAGCUGUGGAAAGAAGUCACAAAACACUGGACCAGAUUACAGAGGGGUAUUGAUUUGCCUUGCCCCCGCCCCCACCAUCACAGUGUGUCCCUGUCCAGUGUUGGUGCUGUGUGGCAUUGCUUGUGUCCAUAGGAGUCCAUCAAGGCAGAGCGGCAGAGCGGCAAGCAGAGCGGCAAGGCAGGUCAGCUUCCGGCUCUUCCAGGCUGCAUGUCCCCCUCAAUAUCCUGUAAGUUCUGAUCUGGCAGAUACUGAAUACUCAAGGGUUCACAUUCUCUUAGCCUAGAGGUGGC